rnacentral:rRNA from 1 species
CCCGGCGACCGGCGCACGGGUGAGUAACACGUAUGGAACCUGCCCGCAGCAGGGGGAUAAGCGGAAGAAAUUCCGUCUAAUACCGCGUAACACCGCGGAGGGGCAUCCCUCGGCGGUUAAAGAUUCAUCGGCUGCGGAUGGCCAUGCGGCGCAUUAGCUAGUCGGCGGGGUAACGGCCCACCGAGGCGACGAUGCGUAGGGGUUCUGAGAGGAAGGUCCCCCACACUGGUACUGAGACACGGACCAGACUCCUACGGAAGGCAGCAG